rnacentral:rRNA from 1 species
AUUGAACGCUGGCGGCGUGCUUAACACAUGCAAGUCGAUCGGUAACGCGGGGGCAACCCUGGCGACGAGAGGCGGACGGGUGAGGAACGCUUGGGAAUCUGCCUAUCAACGGGGGACAACACGGGGAAACUCGUGCUAAUACCGCAUACGCUCUACGGAGGAAAGCCGGGGACCGCAAGGCCUGGCACUGAUAGAUGAGCCCAAGCCGGAUUAGCUAGUUGGCGGGGUAACGGCCCACCAAGGCGACGAUCCGUAGCUGGUCUGAGAGGACGAUCAGCCACACUGGAACUGAGACACGGGCCAGAAUCCUACGGGAGGCGGCAGUGGGGAAUAUUGGACAAUGGGGGAAACCCUGAUCCAGCGACGCCGCGUGGGUGAAGAAGGCCUGCGGGUUGUAAAGCCCUUUCGGUAGGGACGAAAGCUCUCGACCUAACACGUCGGGAGGUUGACUUAACCUACAAAAGAAGCACCGGCUAACUCUGUGCCAGCAGCCGCCGUAAAAC